CAAUUUUUCUGUUAGUUAUCGUUGCGCUGAGUGCUGUCUUUGGUACAACGGAAGCAGGAUGGAUUAAAAAACAACUCAAGAAAGCCGGAAUAUUCAAGAAAUCUUCAUCAGAUAAUGGGCCCUCUCGACCAGUACCCUAC